rnacentral:rRNA from 2 species
ACUGAUUGAUGGUGCUUGCACCUGAUUGACGAUGGAUCACCAGUGAGUGGCGGACGGGUGAGUAACACGUAGGUAACCUGCCCCGGAGCGGGGGAUAACAUUUGGAAACAGAUGCUAAUACCGCAUAACAACAAAAGCCACAUGGCUUUUGUUUGAAAGAUGGCUUUGGCUAUCACUCUGGGAUGGACCUGCGGUGCAUUAGCUAGUUGGUAAGGUAACGGCUUACCAAGGCGAUGAUGCAUAGCCGAGUUGAGAGACUGAUCGGCCACAAUGGAACUGAGACACGGUCCAUACUCCUACGGGAGGCAGCAGUAGGGAAUCUUCCACAAUGGGCGCAAGCCUGAUGGAGCAACACCGCGUGAGUGAAGAAGGGUUUCGGCUCGUAAAGCUCUGUUGUUGGAGAAGA